rnacentral:rRNA from 1 species
UACGGAGGGUGCAAGCGUUGUCCGGAUUUAUUGGGUUUAAAGGGUGCGUAGGCGGUUCUUUAAGUCUGGGGUGAAAGCCCGUUGCUCAACAACGGAACUGCCCUGGAAACUGGAGGACUUGAGUACAGACGAGGGUGGCGGAAUGGAUGCUGUAGCGGUGAAAUGCAUAGAUAGCAUCCAGAACCCCCGAUUGCGAAGGCAGACGUGCCUAGACCU